GACGAACGCUGGCGGCGUGCUUAACACAUGCAAGUCGAACGAGAAAGGCUCUUCGGAGCUGAGUACAGUGGCGAACGGGUGAGUAACACGUGGGCAACCUGCCCCAAGGAGCGGGACAACCCGAGGAAACUCGGGCUAAUACCGCAUGAUUCGUGCAGUCAUAAGACCGCACGGCAAAUGGUAGCUUCGGCCUCCGCCUUGGGAUGGGCCCGCGGCGCAUUAGCUUGUUGGGU
rnacentral:rRNA from 1 species